GAUGAAGAACGUAGCGAAAUGCGAUACUUGGUGUGAAUUGCAGAAUCCCGUGAACCAUUGAGUCUUUGAACGCAAGUUGCGCCCGAAGCCAUUAGGCCGAGGGCACGCCUGCCUGGGCGUCACACGUCGUUGCCCCCCCAUCUAAUCCUUCGGGAUUGCGGGGGGCGGAUGAUGGCCUCCCGUGCGCCUCGUCGCGCGGUUGGCAUAAAUGCCAAGUCCUCGGCGACGCACGCCACGACAAUCGGUGGUUGCGAAACCUCGGUUGCCCGUUGUGUGCGGUCGUCGCGCAUCGAGGGCUCGAAAAAAUUGCCGGGCUCCGGCUCGACUUUCAACGCGACCCCAGGUCAGGCGGGGUUACCCGCUGAAUUUAAGCAUAUCAAUAAGCGGAGGA
rnacentral:misc_RNA from 1 species